rnacentral:lncRNA from 1 species
UGAGCGGAGGUUUUCGGCGGUGUGACGUCAGGGCAGCUGGAGGUGACUGUUUCAGCCACCGCGUCCCAAUCGGGGGUUCGGAGGAACGCGCGGUGGAGCGCGUGCCAUCUCUCUCGGUAUGCUUCGAUGAGUACCAGAGCCUCGUCGCGUGUCCAGCACGGCGGUGGAAACUUCCGUACAGUUUUUUGUCCCGUGGAAGACAUUGCGGUGUUUGAGGGACGGCGCACGUUAGCAACUUAACGGUGGCUCUUUUCGGUGGUGAACUUGGGUGACGGCGUACGUUAGUUGAGGUAUUGGUGCACGUUAGCAAGU